rnacentral:lncRNA from 1 species
AUGGGGCCAAGGACGAGCGGCGGCCCCGUCCCCUCCUCAGGUCCGAGCCCUCCCGCCGAGUCAGAUCCCCCUCGGUCCCCACAGGCCGGACCCCCUCAGGCCACACAGCCCCUCCGUUCCGCCUGCUCAGCCUCAGGGCAGGAACCCUCCCCUCAGAUCAGACCCUCAUCCCCUCAGGAUCGCGCCCAUUUCCCCUCAGAUCAGACCCCCGUCCCCUCAGGAUCGCGCCCAUUUCCCCUCAGGUCAGAUUCCCUCAUCCCCUCAGGAUCGCGCCCAUUUCCCCUCAGGUCAGCCCCUGGCCUGGGUGCGUUGCGGCGCCCGCCUCCAUUGACGUGGGGAGAGCACCUGUGUCCUGUGCGAGGAGAAGGGGCGAAGGGAAGUGGAAACACGGUCCUGGGCAUGUUGGGAAGCAGGUGCACGUGAAUUCAGGAGGCUGAUGAGGCAGGCGGCUCCUUCAGUGUAGAAACUCGGUGAGGGUUUCGGGCCAGGGGGGCGUAUGAAUGUCCCGCCUUACUGAGGAGAGCAUGUGGCUCGGAGAGGUGCUUCUGGAUACUCUGUUGUGUCCUGGACCUGGCUGCCUUUUGCUCAGAGCUUUCACGAAUGGUAUGUAAGUAGGGAAAAAUAUAUUUUAUACAGGAGUUUUGGGAGGUCUCUUCUAGUACAGUGGCUUUUGCCCAUCUUUCCAGGGAAAUGAAUACAGUUGUCUGUGCUGCUCCAUUGUUGGCAUAUUAGUACAAACAUUCCUCCCAGCCUUGCCAGCAGCUGCCUCAGGAACAUUUGAAAAUGCUUUCAGGGUCUUUUGUAAGAAGGUGUCUAUUUUUAUUGGUCUGGGAGGGUAAGAACCUUGUCCAAGCCCUGCGAAUUCUGACUGCUGCCCUGAAGUUAUCACAGCUUUUGAAGUAAUCCCUCUUAAGAAGCACCAGGAAUUUCAAACAGUCGCCUCUCCAGCUGGAGAUGUGUCUGAACAUAGGUGUCUAGGACCAUUUUAGACCCUUUUGGCUUUUUGAAGCAUCCCUACACACAUCCCUUGCAUAUGUGGUUGAAGUCUGUGGGAGACCUGGGGUGUCUGAGAGGCUUUUCUGAUGGAUCCUACAGAAUCUAAAGCGGUUCUAGGUGCCUACCUUGAGCAGCUGAAUCCCAUUCCUAUUUGAUAACUCAAAAUGAUGGGUCAAAAAACUUCAAGUGAAAUGAGCAUUUUUCAUACCUCUCAUUAGUGAGUCUAUCAAAACAAAGAGGAUUGCUGUUCACGUCUAGAGUAAUUUGCUUCAUAAAUAAAACACUGAUGCAGUUACAAAGAUCUAAUGAUUAAAAAAGUGCAAUAGGGAUUAUUUACAUAAAUCCACUUGUCUGUAUUGACCUUUGCAGUGAAGUGAAUUGCAUUUUUGUUCUUAACUUUUAAGUAACAUUCAUGAAGUAAAUGAGAGUUAAAAAUGCUGAGAAAUAAAAACUGCAGGUGAUGAGAUUUAUACUUGCAUUGCAUGACAUAUUUUUAAUACAGUACUCAGAAAAUUAAAUCUAACUCCAGCAGCUUUCUUAUCUGUCUGUUGUUAUUCAUGUCUUCUAAAUUCAUGAGUUGCAGGUGAGAAAAGAAUGAUUUUCUUUUUUCAGGGUUUAAGCUUCAAAUAUGAACCUGAGAGGAAUGAAUUAUGAAUAAAAUUGUAAGCUUAAUAUGGCAAUACCAACUGCAUUUCCCUGUAAUAAAUUACAGUAUAAUCUAGGAAAGUCUCUUAGUUUAUAUUAAGAAAAUGUGAUGCUUUUUCAUCCAUAAUCCUUUUUGCUGCAUUCCUUCUAUGCAUCUCUAAGUGCAUAGAAGACACUCUAAGAAGACACUUUUGAAAUCAGUUGGCCAUUGCAUGACAGGGCUUAAAUAAAUGUGAUCGAUUUUCUUUUUUCCCAUUCCUUGCAACUGUUUCAGUACUGUCUCUUAAGUAUGUCCAAGGUGUUUUUUUCUUUUUCCCUUCUCCCCUGUAGUCACAAUAUGUGCUCCUUCCUUAUGUUUGGUUUUUCCCCCCCUCAUUUCCUUCUUGAGUCUCCCUAGUGCUGUUAGGUAGUGUCAGGUUACUCAACCUUGAGGCCAUCUGUGCCCUUUUUACCUCUAAAUCAACUAAAAAUAGCCAAACUGCUUUGGUUGAAGUUUUCCAAAAUGAAAAUGUGGACCUCAUACAAAUUUUCAGACUGAAUGAUUUAAGACUUUCAGUCUCUAGCAGAGUAGAUGGAAAUAUUGAGCAACAUCUGCCUUUCAGGAGUUUUAGGAGGGAUUUCUUGUUCCAUGUAUAUUGUAAACUGCCCUUCAGGGUAUUCAUAUCCAUUUUUUAAAUGGCUGCCUUGGGGGAAAAUCUUACAAACGGGGGAUUAUCAAUCUGGAAGUGUGUUUUGAGUAUUUUGUGAAGGUGAGUGAAGGAGAUGUACAUUGUAUCCAUAUUUGAGUGUGGAUUUACAGCAGUGGCCUUUGCCUUCCUCUUCCCCUUUCCCUUCUCAUGUUCGGCCCGAACCUCAUGGAUUUUUGAGGGGCUUUGCCGCUGCCUUCCCUGGUGUCUGAUUUAGGUUCUAAAACCCCGUGUCAGACCUGGUUUGUGAGGCUGGGACUGAGUUGGGUGUCUCUAAGUGGUGUUUUCAGCAGCUCCUCGUCGGUGAAGUCGGGCACUACCAUUUCGGGAGGCGUUCCAGUGGAGUGCUGCCCUCACAUUCUGCUCCUUACCUGCUGGGGCUGACAGGCAUCCAUUUGCAGCCUGGCUGUGGGUGCCCGUGGAGCCCAGCUGCAUCAAGUGGAGUUCUUCACACAGCUGUUUCUAGGAGCUCCUUUCCUUGCAGUCUUGAUUCAAAAGGUAAGAUUGAAGAAGAAUGUGGGCAGUUUUCCUCUUAGUGCAGGUGCAUGAAGCUGCAAACGGAACCACAGCUGCCUAAUAAAAUAAUCAAAAGUUUAAAAAAGUUAAAAGGCUGAUUUUUUUAGCCAGCUUUCUAAAAAAUGAACUUUUAAACAUGAUUUAAAAAAAAAAAUCUGCAUAUUCUAAAUAUUU